AUACCUUUCUCGGCCUUUUGGCUAAGAUCAAGUGUAGUAUCUGUUCUUAUCAGUUUAAUAUCUGAUAUGUGGACCAAUGGUCCACACGAUAUUAAAUUACUUUUUUUAGGGAGAGAGUCUGCCUAGUAGCUUGCUGCUUGGGCUCUCAAGUGUCGCCUUUGCGUUGCACUAUUUUUGAAAUUUUCAAAGGUUGAGCUGCCACUU
rnacentral:snRNA from 2 species